AGCGAACGCUGGCGGCAGGCCUAACACAUGCAAGUCGAGCGCGCCCUUCGGGGUGAGCGGCGGACGGGUGAGUAACGCGUGGGAACGUGCCCUUUUCUACGGAAUAGCCUCGGGAAACUGAGAGUAAUACCGUAUACGCCCUUUGGGGGAAAGAUUUAUCGGAAAAGGAUCGGCCCGCGUUGGAUUAGGUAGUUGGUGGGGUAAUGGCCUACCAAGCCGACGAUCCAUAGCUGGUUUGAGAGGAUGAUCAGCCACACUGGGACUGAGACACGGCCCAGACUCCUACGGGAGGCAGCAGUGGGGAAUCUUAGACAAUGGGGGCAACCCUGAUCUAGCCAUGCCGCGUGAGUGAUGAAGGCCUUAGGGUUGUAAAGCUCUUUCAGCUGGGAAGAUAAUGACGGUACCAGCAGAAGAAGCCCCGGCUAACUCCGUG
rnacentral:rRNA from 1 species